UGGGGAAUAUUGGACAAUGGGCGAAAGCCUGAUCCAGCCAUGCCGCGUGUGUGAAGAAGGUCUUCGGAUUGUAAAGCACUUUAAGUUGGGAGGAAGGGCAUUAACCUAAUACGUUAGUGUUUUGACGUUACCGACAGAAUAAGCACCGGCUAACUCUGUGCCAGCAGCCGCGGUAAUACAGAGGGUGCAAGCGUUAAUCGGAAUUACUGGGCGUAAAGCGCGCGUAGGUGGUUUGUUAAGUUGGAUGUGAAAGCCCCGGGCUCAACCUGGGAACUGCAUCCAAAACUGGCAAGCUAGAGUACGGUAGAGGGUGGUGGAAUUUCCUGGGUAGCGGUGAAAUGCGUAGAUAUAGGAAGGAACACCAGUGGCGAAGGCGACCACCUGGACUGAUACUGACACUGAGGUGCGAAAGCGUGGGGAGCAAACA
rnacentral:rRNA from 1 species